rnacentral:misc_RNA from 1 species
CCUGAGCGAAGAAGGGAAGCGUAUUGCUCUUUCUUGCUUUCGGGCGGGGGUGGCGUCUUUCUGGUACGUUGCCGCACGACUUUCGUCCCGGCGCCCGCACUCCAAAACGUCCACGCCCUCCCCCACCCACCCAAGCCUUCCCUCCUGAUUCUCCUCAUCCCCCUCCAAGGCGGCGGCACAUUACCGCAUACGGGGGUAGCACCAGCUGCAGAAGGAACGCCAUCGCACACAAGCGAGAGAGAGAGAACGGGGGCGUCGAAGUACGUUCCUCCCUCUCUCCCUUCCCCUCCCUCUGCCCCUGGUAUUCCCUCAGUUCUUGUUUUUUCGGUGUGCGAGUGCGGCACUGUCAUGCUGAAGCGGAGCAUCAGUGCGGCGGCGAGGAAGGCGGGUGGUGGCGCGUCGUCCGCAGCACCCGCGGCCGGGCAACAGCCGCCCUCCAAUCCACUUUUGCCAUACGCGCUGCGUCGCGCGGCAGCCUGUGAAAUGCUCUACGGUGGCUCUCGCGUGCAGUAUCUCGUGCAGCCGCCAUUCAAGCUUCACAAGAUUCGCAGCGAGAACCUGCCGCCGCCGUCUCUCUACGCGGAGCGGCACGACCUUGGGCUCGAGAUGCAGCUGCCGCGUGACAUGCACGUCUACAACAGCAUUAACAUGGCCAUCCAACGCCAGGUCGGAGCAGAUUCUAGCACGCUGGACGGGGAGCAGCAGCAACAGCAGCUGCAGGAUGGGCACGCUGACGGCUUCGACAUGGGCGCUUUCUUCACUGAGCAGCACCACCCUGAGCGGCAUCACAACUCCUCCUUGCCGUACGCCAAACACGAUACGAACAACGUGCUCGCGAUGCGGCUCUUUCCUGUCAACAUUGGCGUUCGUGCGCGUACAGAGGCGAUUCGGAUUCGCACCGAAGACUGCUUGCAGCGCCUUCGCGACGCUGAUCUCUGCGCGAAGAUGCGCAUACCGCUCGAGUACCCCCUCCCAUUGAGCCACCGCAGCCAGUACGCGGCUGUUCAUCGCGCGCGACGAGAGCGUUGCUACGAUGCUCCGACGGAGAAGGCGGGAGAAAGCGCGGCGGUAGCGGCUGAAGAGGCGUCGCGAACGGCGCAUCUACGCGGCGCUGCUGCCCAUCCGCCGCCGUCAGAGCUCUCCAUCUUAACUCGGCCAGUCGACCGCCUCGGCAGACACAGCGGCAGCAGCGCCGCUGCUUGCACCGCAGAUGCUGACCACCUAAGCUUCCCCGUGCACCCCUUUGCAGCUGCUGCUGUCUCGUCCGGCUGCCACAGUGCGCGCAGUGGUAGUGCCGCCCGACUCGCCUCGCAGCGUUGGCUGCCGUUGCAGACGCUGAAGCCGAUGGGGCACAACUGGAGCGCCGCAACGCGCAGCAGUGGUGUGCGCGGGCCGCACAUGCAGCUCAUGCAAGAGCGACUUGACCAGAAGGGCUUCGGCUGGAAACGCAAAUCUCGCUCGCUUUGGCAGCAAGACGUGGCAACGGCCGGCUUCCGUCCGCAUCGCUACUUCUAAGCACCGGCAAUCAAUCAUCCCCCCCCCUCCGUGCGCGGUCGGGCGGGUGGUGGCGGCUGGGCGCGGUGACACCGAUCGUACGAAAGCCGCAUGUGAUUUGCGUGCUCGGGUUUGUGCCUCCGGCCAUCUUCACUUUUUUUUUACUUGUUGGUGUCGGUGUUCGCUUCAUGUGGUAAGCCGUGUUGUGAGCAGCCGAUGGGCUGGGGUCUCCGCGUGUCUGAGCCUGACCUCUCGGGCUCCCUCUCCCUUCUGCGUGCGGGGUGGGAAGGUGCUGGAUGGGUACCUACACGCAGCAUGCUCAUGAACGGUG